rnacentral:lncRNA from 1 species
UCGAAGUACAAUUAGAUCUACUUUAUCAAGAUGGGCAAGAUUGGCAUCCAGAAACUUGUCACUCCAACUAAAUAUCUGCUUACAUGCACCCAUGAUCUUGUCAUACACCAAACCUAGCACCCAUGUCUCACAAGCGCUCUGGAGCUGAUUCAUGUUAUCAUCGUUUCUCACGCAAGGAAAUUCAAGCUUAGAAUUGCUU